AGUCCAACAUUCUCGCCCAAAGGAGAGCCGGAUGAAGACACUCGCCAACAAGCCGCCGGUAUCACCGCAAUCCAGAAUUCCGCAAUCGCUGCUCGAGCGGUUCGAGAACGAGUGGCGCGAAAUGCGCACGGUCGGCGAGGCUGCACAGAAGACCGUUCCUCCCGCGGAGUGAGAUGCGCUGACGCGGCCUCGGAGCGUGGGAUUUUUGCCAAUCGGCAAUUCCGUGCUACUCUCCUGGC
rnacentral:sRNA from 1 species